AGCAAAUCUCUUAAAGCCGUUCUCAGUUCGGAUUGUAGGCUGCAACUCGCCUACAUGAAGUCGGAAUCGCUAGUAAUCGCGGAUCAGCAUGCCGCGGUGAAUACGUUCCCGGGCCUUGUACACACCGCCCGUCACACCAUGGGAGUUGGAAAUGCCCGAAGUCAGUGGCCCAACCGGAAGGGGGGAGCUGCCGAAGGCAGGUUCGAUGACUGGGGUGAAGUCGUAACAAGGUACC
rnacentral:rRNA from 1 species